rnacentral:lncRNA from 13 species
AUGACAUCACAACAUAUCAUCACACUGCUUGUCCAUCAUGAACGCAAUAUUCUAAUCUUACCCCUCCCCCUCUCAGCUUUGGCUCGUAGGGAUAGGCCGCCCACUUCCUUCGCACGACCUGAUUGGUACCCUGGAGCGAGACGGCCAACAGACGUAAAUCAAGCAGCUCCAGAUUCAGGCUACACGUGGAGCGAGGCGGAGACAGCGCCAGAGAUGACAGUGGGACCAGUGGACUCCUGGAAACCAGAAGUGAACCCUUUUGAUUCAGGUUUCAGUGUGAGAGAGCAGGACUCACUACCCCGGGCCGACCCAGAGCCUGUUACUCAGGGAGACCCAAACUGUAAAGUUGACAUAGCAUGGCUGAUGGACGGUAGCUGGAGUAUUGGGAAGCGUCGCUUUAAGAUCCAGAAGGACUUCCUGGCUGAGGUGGCACAGGUCAUCAACGUGGGCAUGGCCGGACCCAUGAUGGGCGUCAUCCAAUACGGAGAUGAUCCAGUCACAGAGUUCAGUCUGAAGGCCUAUACUAACUCCAGAGAGCUGAAACCUGCCAUAGACAAGAUCACACAGAAGGGAGGGAUGUCCAACGUGGGGAAGGCACUCUCCUAUAUCAACAAACAUUACUUCAGCGACGCCAACGGUAACCGGGGCGGAGCGCCCAACGUGGCUGUGGUUCUGGUAGACGGCUGGCCAACCGACAAGGUAGAGGAGGCAUCACGCCAGGCCAGAGAGUCUGGUAUCAACAUCUUCUUUGUGACCAUCGAGGGACCCGACGAGAACGAGAAGCAGAAUGUGGUGGAGCCGAACUUUGUGGACAAGGCGGUGUGUCGAACCAACGGUUUCUACUCCCUACCCGUGUCGAGCUGGUUCGCCUUGCGGAAGGCAGUCCAACCCCUCGUCAAGCGCGUGUGCGACACCGACCGUCUCGUCUGCAGCAAGACCUGCCUUAACGCAAACGACAUCGCCUUCGUCAUCGACGGAUCCAGCUCUGUGGGCACCGGGAACUUCCGGACCGUCCUGCAGUUCGUCGCUAACAUCACGCGGGAGUUUGAGAUAUCGGACACGGACACACGAGUCGGCGCAGUACAGUAUACGUACGAACAACGGCUGGAGUUUGCCUUCGGCCAACACAACAACAAGGCUGAUCUGCUUAAUGCCAUAAAGAGGAUUAAUUACUGGAGCGGCGGGACCAGUACUGGAGCAGCUAUCACCUACGCAGCAGAGCAGCUGUUCAGCAAGUCCAAACCCAACAAACGCAAGAUCAUGAUCGUUAUCACGGACGGGAGGAGCUACGAUGAUGUCAGAGCUCCAGCGUUGGCCGUCCAUCGCCAAGGUGUGAUAGCGUACUCCAUCGGCAUCGCCUGGGCAGCGCAGGACGAGCUGGAAUACAUCGCCACCGACCCCGACAAGGAGCACUCCUACUUCGUAGACGAGUUUGACAGCCUCUACAAGUUCGUCCCCAAGGUGGUCAAUAACAUCUGUCAGGAGUUCAACUCACAGCCACGCAACUGAGCUGAGCAGGGAGGGCACCUUAUUCCCUAUAUAGUGCACUACUUUUGAACAGGGCCCCUAGGGCCAUGCAGACCCACCUUGCUUACGUACACCUAUACUUAUAAAUCUGUGCUUACAUAUCAAGGAAACAAGGAAGGAAGGAAGGAAGAAUACGUUUGUAAAGUUUUGAAACAGGGGCUCAGGGGCUGUAGGGAGGGGGCUAGAUAUUUAUAUUAGGAUCCCCACAAGCUAAUUAGCAGCACUAUCAUGGAGACAGGACAGGGUCUCUACAAAAUGUAUUACCGGUAAGUUACCAAAAUUAAACAUUUUAAUAGUUGGUGCUGAAUGGGCAAUACUUUAAUUCCCAUGGAACAUUAAUACAAUUGGUUCACAACGAUUAAACUUUGGCCAUGUGAUCUCAACUGUUGUUGGUGUUCUAGUAACAGUCAGGGACGGGAGGGUGUUUAAUGUUCUCACUCCUAAUCAUGUAACAUAACUGAUGAAAAAGUUGAACCACCUGGACGUGGUGCUUACCAGGGUUGAGGUCAAUUCAAAUCUAAGGCCGUCAAUAGUAAAGUGAAAUUCCAAAUGUAAUCAUUUUUUUUAAAAGUGCUUUUAUUUUCCACUUCUUAAUAAACUGAAAAAGGAUAAACUAUUAAUUGGUAAA